GUGUUUGCUUUGGCAGCACACAUGCUAAAAUUGGAAUGAUACAGAGAAGAUCGCACGACCUCUAUGUAGGAACAACACACAAAUUUAUAAAAUACUCCUUGUUUUA